AAGUUGAAACUAUCUGAUAUCAAAGUAAUAAAAAAUAUUUAGAGUUUUACAGCUACUUUACUACGCCCCAGUUAAAUAUUAUUAACCGAGUGCGCAACAAUGACAGAAUUAAGAAAACCAUCAAAAUAGUAUGAUACUCCGUAUAAUAUUGGAAGAGUCAACUCGAACGCUUAUAGCUGAUCUGAACUGAACUGCACGAGGCAUUGUAAAAUGUGUACACAAGAUUUUUGUAUUUCUUGAAAUGACAUAUUAUCUUCUAUUAUUAUUGUCAUAAAUGAUAUAGUUAUUGUUGUCAUAAAUUGUUGUCAUAAAUAGUAUAAUUAUUGAAUAUACUUAUAUAAAUAGUGUUGCAUUGAUUUUUGACAGGCUGAUAAUUUUAUACAAGCUAAAGACGACCAUUUUUUAAAUAUAAUUUUACUUUAGUGCUCUACCAACAAUCAUAAAUUUACUUUAUCUACAAUAAAAUAUGGUUUUAACUUAAAGUAAACUUUUGUCAUUUAAACUUUACUAUGUUGAUCAUUACCUAAUAGUGUAAAAAAAAAAUUAGUACGUCGCAAUCAAGGAUCAGUGUCAAGUAAUGUGUUUUGCAUACUUAUGUAUUUUUUGGGUGUUCUGUGUAUUAAAACUGAAACAUAUCAUCUUUAUAUAAUAAUACGGAACUCAAUAGUAGUAGUUCCCUUUCGAGCACGUUUGACACAAAACCCAACGCAGCCAUUGCAACCGAGGUACUGGCUUGGAAGAGUCGCAGCACCUUUUUAUAAGAAAACAUUAACGAAAGUGUGUGCUAAUAACUAACUUACGUAAACUUCAAAAUGUGAAAUGUCAAAACAUACUAAAACAUGUAUCAA